GGAAGUUGUGUAUUGGAUGAAGCUGUACUCUUCUAACGCCUACCUUACACUGACAGACUUUGACAAGAUUUGGGAAAGAUUCUUAAAAGUCUUUUAACUAAUGCCCCAUUCAAGCUUUACUCAAAAGACUACUAUCUUUCAAGAAUCUUUCCCAAAUCUUGUCAAAGUCUGUCAGCAUAAGGUAACCUUAAUCAGGAUUUCUGGAGCAAGUUUUCUUGCAGGAAGCUUAAAGAAACAUUCCAUGACAAAUUGAUUGAUUGGUGCCAUGUCUGAGAGAAUGGGAACGGAAGUCAGCGGCGCAGUGCAUUCUGGGACAAAAAGGGCAUUUUCCUCCAUUAGGUGACCUGACGAUCGUGGGCACGGACGUUACAUCCAACAACACAACAGCAAAACGACCUGCUCACAUCUGAAGGAGGUGCAGUAGGACACACAGUAGGCUUGUUGGUCCAUCAUGCCGUUCAACCCCAUUUCCUCAGUUGAUCAACCUUCAAGUUUGCAGAGACAUCAUAUAGAAAUGCUCUCUCCCUAUGCUGGUGUUCCUGAUCCAUGCAGUGGUGUCAGAAAGGGUUGAUGUAGCUCCUGAGCUCCUUCUAGCCUGGAUGGAUUUUUGAUGUCCAGAACUCACCUUUUUUGAUUUCGCAAGCCACAGAAAGGCAACACCUUUGUGACAUCUCAAUGGUUUGUGCACCUGGGCUAUUCCAUGCCAAAAGACUGUUGAAAUCUUUGGACUUUUGCCCUAAUCACUAUGUAGGAAUGGACACAUUCCUGGUAAUUAUCAACACCUUAUGUUUACUGAUGGGACAAAGAAAACUGUAAUUUCUAAGAAUAAAA